UAACACAUGCAAGUCGAACGAGCGAGAGAGAGCUUGCUUUCUCAAGCGAGUGGCGAACGGGUGAGUAACGCGUGAGGAACCUGCCUCAAAGAGGGGGACAACAGUUGGAAACGACUGCUAAUACCGCAUAAGCCCACAGCUCGGCAUUGAGCAGAGGGAAAAGGAGCAAUCCGCUUUGAGGUGGCCUCGCGUCCGAUUAGCUAGUUGGUGAGGUAACGGCCUACCAAGGCGACGAUCGGUAGCCGGACUGAGAGGUUGAACGGCCACAUUGGGACUGAGACACGGCCCGGACUCCUACGGGAGGCAGCAGUGGGGAAUAUUGCACAAUGGGGGAAACCCUGAUGCAGCGACGCCGCGUGGAGGAAGAAGGUCUUCGGAUUGUAAACUCCUGUUGUUGAGGAAGAUAAUGACGGUACUCAACAAGGAAGUGACGGCUAACUACGUGCCAGCAGCCGCGGUAAAACGUAGGUCACAAGCGUUGUCCGGAAUUACUGGGUGUAAAGGGAGCGCAGGCGGGAAGACAAGUUGGAAGUGAAAUCUGUGGGCUCAACCCAUAAACUGCUUUCAAAACUGUUUUUCUUGAGUAGUGCAGGGGUAGGCGGAAUUCCCGGUGUAGCGGUGGAAUGCGUAGAUAUCGGGAGGAACACCAGUGGCGAAGGCGGCCUACUGGGCACCAACUGACGCUGAGGCUCGAAAGUGUGGGUAGCAAACAGGAUUAGAUACCCUGGUAGUCCACACCGUAAACGAUGA
rnacentral:rRNA from 1 species